CUGUGCCUACGGGGGGCAGCAGUGGGGAAUAUUGCACAAUGGGCGCAAGCCUGAUGCAGCGACGCCGCGUGCGGGAUGGAGGCCUUCGGGUUGUAAACCGCUUUUGUUCAAGGGCAAGGCACGGUCUUUGGCCGUGUUGAGUGGAUUGUUCGAAUAAGCACCGGCUAACUACGUGCCAGCAGCCGCGGUAAUACGUAGGGUGCAAGCGUUAUCCGGAUUUAUUGGGCGUAAAGGGUUCGUAGGGGGUUUGUGGGGUCCGGUGUGAAAGUCGAUGGUUUAAGGGUGGAUAGGGGCCGGGUAAGGGG
rnacentral:rRNA from 1 species